CGGUGUUUAACUGGCGUGAUGUGGGACGUCCUACCGGUGGGCUUAGCCUCGCGAGGGGCGGCCCAACUAAUAUCCCGUCGCGGUGCUCUUUACUGAGUGUCGAGUCGGGCCGGUACGUUUACUUUGAACAAAUUAGAGUGCUUAAAGCAGGCUAUCCUCGCCUGAAUACUGCGUGCAUGGAAUAAUGGAAUAGGACCUCGGUUCUAUUUUGUUGGUUUUCGGAACCCCGAGGUAAUGAUUAAUAGGGACAGAUGGGGGCAUUCGUAUUGCGACGUUAGAGGUGAAAUUCUUGGAUCGUCGCAAGACGGACAGAAGCGAAAGCAUUUGCCAAAAAUGUUUUCAUUAAUCAAGAACGAAAGUUAGAGGUUCGAAGGCGAUCAGAUACCGCCCUAGUUCUAACCAUAAACGAUGCCAGCUAGCGAUCCGCCGAAGUUCCUCCGAUGACUCGGCGGGCAGCUUCCGGGAAACCAAAGCUUUUGGGUUCCGGGGGAAGUAUGGUUGCAAAGCUGAAACUUAAAGGAAUUGACGGAAGGGCACCACCAGGAGUGGGAGCCUGCGGCUUAAUUUGACUCAACACGGGAAACCUCACCAGGCCCAGACACCGGAAGGAUUGACAGAUUGAUAGCUCUUUCUUGAUUCGGUGGGUGGUGGUGCAUGGGCCGUUCUUAGUUGGUGGAGCGAUUUGUCUGGUUAAUUCCGAUAACGAACGAGACUCUAGCCUGCUAAAUAGGCGUACCUUAUGGUAUCGCGAAGGCCCCCGGCUUCGGCCGGUGGGUUUUUACUACCAACGUACAAACAAAUCUUCUUAGAGGGACAGGCGG
rnacentral:rRNA from 1 species